UGGGGAAUUUUGGACAAUGGGGGCAACCCUGAUCCAGCCAUGCCGCGUGAGUGAAGAAGGCCUUCGGGUUGUAAAGCUCUUUCGGCGGGGACGAAACGGUCCGUGACAACACCACGGACUAAUGACAGUACUCGCAGAAGAAGCACCGGCUAACUACGUGCCAGCAGCCGCGGUAAUACGUAGGGUGCAGGCGUUAAUCGGAAUUACUGGGCGUAAAGCGUGCGCAGGUGGCUCCUUAAGUCAGAUGUGAAAUCCCCGGGCUUAACCUGGGAACUGCGUUUGAAACUGAGGAGCUAGAGUGUGGAAGAGGGGGGUGGAAUUCCAGGUGUAGCAGUGAAAUGCGUAGAGAUCUGGAGGAACACCGAUGGCGAAGGCAGCCCCCUGGGCUAACACUGACGCUCAUGCACGAAAGCGUGGGGAGCAAACAGGAUUAGAUACCCCCGUAGUCCCUGAGCGGGCUGGCAAGGCGCAU
rnacentral:rRNA from 1 species